AAGGGGAAACACGGUAGCUACUGCCUCUAUGUGUGGAGGCAGAUACUACACACAGAUCUCGACCAAUCAGAGAGCCUUCACAAACCAAUUUGAAUUUCCUCAAUUAUGUGCGGUUAUGGUAAAUAGGCAAAUUGGAUAAACAUGAAAACGAAAACUUGCAGUGCUGCUGGGUGCUUGUCAUGAAGCAGGCAAGGAGUCAAAUUCUUCAACUUUCCCAAAGAUCCAGCAUGGGCUGCAGUAUGGGCAGGAAAGGAUGAAAUAUCCAGCACCACUGAUUCUGCUAGACUGCUGCACCUAUGGUAUAACUCUAUGCUUUUGCCGUGAUUGGAAUAAAUUAUCCUGAUAGCUAUUCCCGGCCUUCAUGAAACUAUACUGGAGCUUCUAAAGGGUUCUGACAGUGGUGCAUAGCACUCAGAAUUACUGGGUUUUGGGACAUUUUCCAUUGUCCGGUAU